UACGAAGGGGGCUAGCGUUGCUCGGAAUCACUGGGCGUAAAGCGCACGUAGGCGGAUCUUUAAGUCAGGGGUGAAAUCCCGGAGCUCAACUCCGGAACUGCCUUUGAUACUGGGGAUCUUGGAGUCCGGGAGAGGUGAGUGGAACUGCGAGUGUAGAGGUGAAAUUCGUAGAUAUUCGCAAGAACACCAGUGGCGAAGGCGGCUCACUGGCCCGGUACUGACGCUGAGGUGCGAAAGCGUGGGAGCAAACAGG
rnacentral:rRNA from 1 species